rnacentral:tRNA from 1 species
GGAGAGGUGGGUGAGUGGCUGAAACCGCACGCUUCGAAAGCGUGUUUACCAGAAAUGGUAACGUGGGUUCAAAUCCCACCCUCUCCGCCA